UCUUCAAUCAUUCCUGCUGUUUGCAGAGAGUAAAAAAUCACUCUGGGGAUUUGCUUCUGGGAACAGCGAUCCAUUUACUAAUGGGAGUCAACUGAGUGUCUGUGAGAAAUGAGGAUGCUGCAGAUGGAGUGAUAGGAUGUAGGGUCUGUAGUGAAUAUUUUCAGCCCAGGGAUAACUUGGUGUUCCCUGAAUUGGAUGUGUACUUCUGGUGCCCGAAGGAUCAUCUUAGGCAUAGCACUGGAAAAGUCAGGAAUAAUCAAAAGAUAAGAGCACCAAGUGGGAGGAAGCUGGAAGGACAAUUUUUAGAUUUGACCUUGGGUUCCAGUUCUCAUGGUGGGUCUGUGGUGUCAAAGUACACCUGUACUCUGUGGUGCUGGGGUACCUGUUUGUUCAUGUUUUGAGCUUGGAAGACACACUGGACAUGAAAUUCCAGGGAAGCUGCACUUGCAGUAGUGGCUGGAGCAAGAAGAAGUGGAAGCUGUUUGCUAUCUGCUUGUUCUCCACCUUCAGCUCUGUUUCCUGGGUCUCAGGAAUUGUCUCAUUGUACAGUCUGUGGCGUAACACUUUCCGUGCAAGGAUAAUUGCAGUGGAAGAAGGCAGUUGGAGCCAAGAGCCUGGACUAGGAUGCCCUAGGCCCCUGCCAAGCGCAGGUUACAAAACAGCAAAAAAAAGUCAACAAAAACAAAACAUGUCAACAGACUGGGAGUAGCACAGAAGAUAUACAAAAGAUAAUGACCAGUAAUGAUCAUUAAUGAUCAUCAACUCCAAACAUCACCCCUGGUGAUGGAGUUGGAGACACCUGGUCUGGAAAAGACUCAUAAGAACACCAAGGAAUGAGCAAUAAAUUAGCAUCGGUGGGAAGACAUCUGUAACCAGUAAGAAACCAAAUACUAAGACCUGCAUAACUUGGGAACAAUGAACAUUGAAUGAAUUAAUUUCUAUGCGUUUUGACUGUAUAAAGUCUAGGAAAACAAUCUAGUAAAAUUCAUAUGUCAUGGAAUUAUUUUCUCUACACACCUGGGCAAUGUGUGGCUGAAAUGAUUUCUGUUGCACAUCCUGGCCAGAACAACAUUCUGGCCAGAAUAAAGUGUG